UACGUAGGGUGUGAGCGUUACUCGGAAUUACUGGGCGUAAAGCGUGCGCAGGCGGUUUUGUAAGCCAGAUGUGAAAUCCCCGGGCUCAACCUGGGAAUGGCAUUUGGGACUGCAAGGCUGGAGUGCGGCAGAGGAGACUGGAAUUCCUGGUGUAGCAGUGAAAUGCGUAGAUAUCAGGAGGAAUACCGAUGGCGAAGGCGGUUCUCUGGGCCUUACCUGACGCUGAGGAGCGAAAGCGUGGGGAGCAAACAGG
rnacentral:rRNA from 1 species